rnacentral:rRNA from 1 species
AAUGAACGUUGGCGGCGUGGAUUAGGCAUGCAAGUCGAGCGAGAACCGUAGCAAUACGGGGACAGCGGCGAAAGGGAGAGGAAUACGUGGGUAUCUACCCCCGGAUUCGGGAUAGUCGUGGGAAACUACGGGUAAUACCGGAUGAAGUCUCCGGACCAAAGGUGUGAUUCCGCCGGGGGAUGGGCCCGCGUCCUAUCAGCUUGUUGGCAGGGUAAUGGCCUACCAAGGCGAUGACGGGUACGAGGUGUGAGAGCAUGACCUCGCUCACUGGGACUGAGACACUGCCCAGACACCUACGGGUGGCUGCAGUCGAGAAUCUUCGGCAAUGGGCGCAAGCCUGACCGAGCGACGCCGCGUGCGGGAUGAAGGCCCUCGGGUUGUAAACCGCUGUCGGAGGGGAGGAAGUGCCGGGAAGUAAUUCAUAAUCAACCCGGUUUGACCUAUCCUCAAAGGAAGUACGGGCUAAGUUCGUGCCAGCAGCCGCCGUAAUAC